rnacentral:rRNA from 1 species
UAAAAGUCGUAACAAGGUCUCCGUUGGUGAACCAGCGGAGGGAUCAUUACCGAGUUUACAACUCCCAAACCCCUGUGAACAUACCUAUCGUUGCCUCGGCGGUGCCCGCUCCGGCGGCCCGCCAGAGGACCCCCAAACUCUUGUUUUAUACAGUAUCUUCUGAGUAACACGAUUAAAUAAAUCAAAACUUUCAACAACGGAUCUCUUGGUUCUGGCAUCGAUGAAGAACGCAGCGAAAUGCGAUAAGUAAUGUGAAUUGCAGAAUUCAGUGAAUCAUCGAAUCUUUGAACGCACAUUGCGCCCGCCAGUAUUCUGGCGGGCAUGCCUGUUCGAGCGUCAUUUCAACCCUCAAGCCCCCGGGCUUGGUGUUGGGGAUCGGCGUGCCCUCGCGGCGCGCCGUCCCCUAAAUCUAGUGGCGGUCUCGCUGUAGCUUCCUCUGCGUAGUAGCAACACUCGCACUGGAUCGCAGCGCGGCCACGCCGUUAAACCCCCCACUUCUGAAAGUUUGACCUCGGAUCAGGUAGGAAUACCCGCUGAACUUAAGCAU